UGUAAGCUGUGUUUCUGUUCACCUUUCUUCUUUCUUGGCAUUUCCCCUUUCUUUCUGGCCAAGCAUUAUGCAAACUCAGCUUUGGGUAUAUUUUUGUUGUUCCCUUUGUGCGGUACAAAUAUAUUAUAUCUGGUUUAAUGAUCGCUGUCGGCGGGAAAAGUACAAACUGUAAGCUUCGUGUCAUCACGACAGUGGCAAAAGUGCAAGUGACAAAGUGACAUUACCCAAUUAAAUCAAUUAUAACUUUCCAGAACGCUUAAAUCCAUAAUCAAAGAGCCAAUGAAAAGGCAUUAAAAACGUUUAAGGAAAACUGUAACUAUGAGAUUGAGUGCAUUCACGGCAUUUCUUCGAACGGGAUUGAUUUAAGCGUUGACAAGGUCAAUGAUAGCGUUUAAGAUACUCGAGUCAGAUGUGAAAAUAUUUAAUAAAUGGCGAAAUGGAGCGUGUUUCUUUUGUAUUCGGCCUAAGUAAAUACCAAGCAGCUGUUUAAGUAAUUAAAUGUGACGUUUAAGACUAGUACACAGUACAAAAUGUUUAAAGAGUUCACUAGCCCUGAUGUAUUAAUAUGUAAAUAAACAAAUAAUCAUAAAAGGAAGACAUAAGAUAAUUUCUUAAUACUUGUAAGGACUUUAAGGUUCAAAUAACUUGUUAUUAUCUAAAUUUAUGUAUUAAAAGUGAGAAAGAAAAUAUGCAAAUUUUUUGUUUUUUAAAUAUAUAGCAUUAAAUUGAAAAAGAAAAUAUGGGCAAGUAUAAUCAAUAAACUCAAUAUAAAAGGUAUACCAGUGUUGUUGUUUCUUAAUGAUUAACUUUAAAUAAAACGUUUUGUAAUGUAAAGUUUUACUUUUUUUUUGGUGUACCCAUAAAAUACUCCCCCCUUGUAAAAAAGCUCACUUAAUUCCCCUCUCACGCUUAUCAACAAGAACAAUUUUUGUGGCUGUGUUUCGCUUGGUGAUAAGAGGCCAAUAACAAAAUAACAAAUCGACACGAAUAUGUUUGCCUCAGCUGAAAUUCGCCACCUUUCAGCUAGAAGUAUUAACCAAU